UACCAGCUCCUCGAGUGGUCGGGGCGAUUAUUGGGCCUAAAGCAUCCGUAGCCGGUUCUGUAGGUCCUCUGUCAAAUCCAACGGCUUAACCGUUGGCCCGCAGAGGAUACCGCAGGACUAGGAGGCGGGAGAGGUGGACGGUACUCCACGUGUAGGGGUAAAAUCCUUUGAUCCGUGGAAGACCACCAGAUUGCGCGCGGUUAGUGACCACGCGCAUGGUGAAUGGCGAAGGCGGUCCACCAGAA
rnacentral:rRNA from 1 species